AUUGAACGCUGGCGGCAGGCCUAACACAUGCCAGUCGAACGGUAACAGGGAUCAGCUUGCUGAUUCGCUGACGAGUGGCGGACGGGUGAGUAAUGUCUGGGAUACUGCCUGAUGGAGGGGGAUAACUACUGGAAACGGUAGCUAAUACCGCAUAACGUCGCAAGACCAAAGAGGGGGACCUUCGGGCCUCUUGCCAUCGGAUGUGCCCAGAUGGGAUUAGCUAGUAGGUGGGGUAACGGCUCACCUAGGCGACGAUCCCUAGCUGGUCUGAGAGGAUGACCAGCCACACUGGAACUGAGACACGGUCCAGACUCCUACGGGAGGCAGCAGUGGGGAAUAUUGCACAAUGGGCGCAAGCCUGAUGCAGCCAUGCCGCGUGUAUGAAGAAGGCCUUCGGGUUGUAAAGUACUUUCAGCGGGGAGGAAGGGAGUAAAGUUAAUACCUUUGCUCAUUGACGUUACCCGCAGAAGAAGCACCGGCUAACUCCGUG
rnacentral:rRNA from 1 species